AAAAUCAAGAUCUCAGCAGAGGCUUUGCUUGUUAAGACAAUAACUCAAAAAACAAUUGAUUGAUCUUUUUCUAACUUUGCUGAAGCAUUGUGCCCAACUGGAACUAAAUUUUUUAAACAGAUACCACCAACACUGAAGAAACACCGCUUAGUGGCAGCAAAGAGAAUGGUGAAAGCAGACAACUGUUAACCUUGUGAAUGUGGUGAUUGAACUGAAAAUGGACCAGAUGAGGCUAUGGGAAAUGUAGACAGCGCAGGACCCACUGUAGAAUGUGGCCGAAGCAAGAAGACCUGUGGGCUGGGAAGCGUUGCUACAGAGUCUGACUAGUCUCAACAUACCACACACACUCAUUCCCAACCACUACAGUAUGUUCGCCGUCUCAUAGAAGCAUCUUAUAAAACACCAGAACACAAUAAUUUGUCUUUGUCAUUUAUUUAAAACUACUGCAUGCUUUUUUCAAUGCCUUACAACAUCUUUCCAUUUACAGGUUGGUAAAUACAUUUUUCACACUGUUGAUAUAUUUAAAUUUAGUCACAAAAUGAACCACUGUUGUGUCAUUCUUUCUUAAAUUGUUCCUACCACAUGACGAAACACCUCGGGAUCCCGGCUGGUAAUCCCCCAGGCAGACACACGGUCCAGUCCCACCCUCUAGAAAUGGCCAUCCAUCUGCCACAGCCAGGUGUUAUGUGGGUGUCCCCUUGACCUGGUCCAGCCACUUGGAACGAGGAUCCUGCAAGCCGAUCACCCUCAGGGAAAUGGCAGUAGUGCCGUAGGUGAUGCUCCCUCACAAUGCAGGUAAUGUGCCUCAUUCAGGAGUCCUCUAGCAACCACUCGUUCGACCAAAAGUCAAACCAGCGGUACCCAAGAAUUCUCUGAAGCGGCACAGUACCGAAGGAGUCCAGUUUUCAUCUCAGUUCACUGGACAGCAUCCAUGUCUCAUAGCCAUACAGCAAGACAGGGAGCACAAGGACUCUAAAGACUUGGACCUUCAUCCUUUUGCAAAGAUAUCAGGAACACUAUAUGCCCCUUUCCAGCAAUCUGACCCCCAUGCUCUCCAAAUCCAUCUACUGACUUCAUAGGAUAACCAGAGACAUGAAGGUUGCUGCUGAGGUAAGUGAAUCUUUCAAUGAGAUGGACAUUCUCCCCACAGACACUCUACUGAUGGUUGUGCCUAAGAAGUCAUUAAAGGCCUGGAUCUUGGUUUUUAUCCAGGACACUCGCAGACACUCAGACUCCUUGCUCAGUCUCUUGAGAGCCCCGAUCAGAGCCUCUAUUGACUCUGCGAAGAUCACAGCAUCGCUGGCAAAGUGAAGAUCAGUAAAUCUUUCUUCAUCAAUGGACGCCCCACAGCCGCUGGACCUCACAAACCUGCCCAACACCCAGUGCAUACAAGCAUUGAACAGAGAAGGAGCAAGAACACACCCCUGGCAAACCCCAGAAUCAACUGGGAAGAAUGCGGAUGUUCUCCCUCCACUCUUCACAGCACUCACAUUACCAGUGUACAGGGUAGCCAUGACAUCCAGCAACUUUGGGGGGAUCCUGUAAAGUCCCAAGAUGUCCCACAGGGCAACCCGAUCAAUUGAGACAAAUGCUUUACAAAAAUCAAAAAAGGCUGCACAAAACCUCUCAUGAUAUUCACGUUUGCGCUCGAUGAGAACCCUCAGUGCCAGGAUCAAUGAUAGACUACUUAGGCAUGCUGGUAGGCGGGAAAAUUGAUCUUUGAUCCUGUUAAGGAUGACCCUAGCAAGGACCUUACCUGGCACUGAGAGCAGUGGUAUCCCCCUGUAGUUGUACAAUCCUAGGCAAUCACCCUUCCCUUUCUAGGUAGGGACUACCCAUUUUCCAGUCAGUUGGGAUGACUCCCAAAUGGAAGCAAGCAUUGCCUGAAAUGCCAUGAGGACAGCUUUACCAACACUUUGAAGAAGUUCACUCCAGAUACCACAGAUCCCUGUGGCUUGUGGCCUUCCCUACCCCCAGCUGAUUCACCACCCAUGCAUUUCUCAGUGAGAUUGGGUGAUUCACAUCAGAGGAUCAGCCUCAAGAACCGUGGACCCAGAGAUAUCCAACGUCCUAGCCAGAGGAUCAGCUUUAAACAACUACUCAAAGUAGUUGGUCCAGCGAGUCACAACUGCACCCAUCCAUAAGGACCGCUCCAUAACCCGGCCUGACUCCAAAGAACAGAUUCAGCUAUCCCUCACAGCCAUCUUCCUCAGUUCCUGGAAGUACCACCAAGUUCUGCACUGCGACUGCUCUCGAUAAUAUCCAGGGUUCCCUGCAAGAUGAAACACAUGCUUCUGGGAACACCCGCAACACCAAUACAACCCUCAGCAACCUUCAGGGUCUUAUCACAUCACAUUUGUCUGCAGUCGCACCCAAAUCUGCAAGUUCCUCACAUAAACUGUGUGCAAACUCAUCAGAAACAGUCUGACCAAGUCUAGCCUCAUUCUCCUAGUAGGUCAUAGCCUACUGGAUAUAAGCUGAAUCUUUAGAGUAGAAGCAACAAGUCUGUGGUUAGAAUUCACAAACUGGGUACUUCUGUAGAUCCUGUAGUUCUGCAGGAGCCUCCAGCGUCUGCCCAUGAGGAUAUGAUUAAUCUCUUUUGCCACACCACCAGUAUUGGAUUACCAAGUCCAACAAUGCGUCUCAGGGCAUUGGAACCAGGAUCCAUUUACUCCCUGGUCUACAGACCCAUGGGGACCAACACAAUCCUCAUAGCCAGUAUUGUCAGUGCCAGUGGUCGCACUGAAGUCCCCCAUGAGCAGAGAUGGAUCACCUUAUGGGCACCCAUCAACCACCAAGUGAAGUUGUGAGUAAAAGGUCUCCCUCAACGAGACAUCACUCACUGCAAUCGGAGCAUACACUGAGACAACAGAUAAGACACCCAAGGAGUGCCUUAGCCUAAGCCUCUUAAUACGCUUAUUGAAAGGACUGACAUCAGACACCACUGGAAGGAGCCGGUCUGCCACAGCAAGAGCUACUCCCUGAGUAUGGCAGGCAUCAAAGUGACCAGACCAAAAAUUAGGUGUAUCCACCUACAGAGAUCUGACCACUCCCCAGCCCGCAUACCUCAAAGAGCAUUGACACCGAAAUGUGGAAUUACAAAGUUCCCCCAAUAGCAGAGGAAGACUUUCCAUGCACCUACCUUGUAUUGGCUGCCUCAAACUGGGAGCCAAAUGCCACCAUCCAGCAGGCGAUGCCUCAGCACCACACCAGCCCUGAAUCCCAACAGGCCUGACCCUAUUAGCUCUCCGAUGGUUUCGACUCUUCCGGGGAUGAGGCUCCUGAAGGCUUUCCCCCAUCCCCUUCAUGAUGUGUGCAGCCUUCCUAUGGGUGGCUGUAGAAGAGCUACUCCUGCAGAGAGCAGAAGGGUGUUAUGCUUGUUUGGACCUUACUGCUGUGAAGUGUUUUAAGGCAGCUGGAGUGGCAAUCAACCAGCCCCGAAAAAAAAUUCCCUGCCAGUUCAAGGACCGGUUGCCGGGCUGGAUGCAGUUUAACAUCAUACCCAGGACAAUGAAUAGUGGUUGGCGGAAUCUCAUCUCCAAACACAUAUUACCACUCUUAACCAGAGAGAGAUACUGAUUUCAUCCUUCAGUUAAAUGCUUACAAAUUAUAGCUGUUUAUGUACUAAUUUCUUUCAAUAGUGAACGGUUCAAUUUUCAAGUGUUUCAAAUUGUUUAAUAUAUACCUACAUACCUUAAAGAGUAAACCAAUAAAAUUGUGAAAAGAAAUGAUUUGUUGUUUAUUUUACAAAGAUAUGCUA